rnacentral:rRNA from 1 species
CACGUAGGGCGCGAGCGUUGUCCGGAAUUAUUGGGCGUAAAGAGCUCGUAGGCGGCCUGUUGCGUCCGCUGUGAAAGCCCGGGGCUUAACCCCCGGGUCGGCAGUGGAUACGGGCAGGCUAGAGGUAGGUAGGGGAGAAUGGAAUUCCCGGUGUAGCGGUGAAAUGCGCAGAUAUCGGGAGGAACACCGGUGGCGAAAGCGGCUCACUGGACCAUUACUGACGCUGAUGCACGAAAAGCUAGGGGAGCAAAACAGGG